CUCCAAUGUCCAUGACCAUUUCUGCAAUUAAAGGUGAAAUCUGUUUGUAAAGUGCUUCUGCUAAAAAUACUGCACACACACACAGAUAUUUACACGUGUAUAACGGGGGCUAGUUACACUGCUGGCACACAUUAAUUUGUCAGUCUGGAACAAAAAUAACAUCUGCACACUAGCGACAGUACAGUACGCAGGCACACUGCACUCUGGAGACAGAUCUUCUAUAAUUCUCCCCUUGCAGGCAGUGUUUGCAAGAGGAAUGU